GUCUCCUCCUCAGCAUCUCUGAAGUCGCUGAAGAAGGGCAGGUCGAGUGCCUCGGAGGCGCUCACCCUCUGCUCAGGGUCCAGAAGCAGCAUCUUUUCCAGGACACACACGGCUGUGUUGCAGAUAAACACAUCAAGGAGACACUGAAACUCCUGAUGAGCAACAGAAGCUGAGCUCAGCACAGAUUUGUUUCCAGUGAUUACAACACAGGAAAAGCUUCAUGAGCUUUCCGAGGUCAGUGCCCAUGAACGGCAUCACCAGGUAACUGCAGACGAGAAGAAGAAGAAGAGUCGAGCCGCUCCAUUGGAACAACAACAAACGAUUUUGCAGUCAGCAUCCAGGAAUGGAUGAGAACUCACAAAUCCCGUAAGCGGUCCAGUGAGAUUUCAGCAGUGAAAACAUCCAAGAGCCCGAUUACCUAAUCGAGAGGAAUAAGUAAAAGUAAAACUAUUAUUGAGAGUGCCCCUAAAAAGUUCAACUUCAGUAAGAAACUAGGAGCCUGAAGAUGCGUUGCACAGCUUCAAAAUCCCUCUUUUCUCAUUUGCCU